UACGUAGGGGGCUAGCGUUGCUCGGAAUCACUGGGCGUAAAGCGCACGUAGGCGGAUCUUUAAGUCAGGGGUGAAAUCCCAAGGCUCAACCUUGGAACUGCCUUUGAUACUGGGGAUCUCGAGUCCGGAAGAGGUGAGUGGAACUGCGAGUGUAGAGGUGAAAUUCGUAGAUAUUCGCAAGAACACCAGUGGCGAAGGCGGCUCACUGGUCCGGUACUGACGCUGAGGUGCGAAAGCGUGGGGAGCAAACAGG
rnacentral:rRNA from 1 species